rnacentral:lncRNA from 13 species
CUCACAAUUGACAGCAUUGAAGCUAAAAAGGGGUAGGCUAGUGUCGUGGUAAGGCACGUUGGAUGGUUCGAUUCUACUGGCCUUUUUGCUUGGUUGAGGGGCGGUAGCUGAGGGGCGGUCCUGAAUCUGUAGGCUCUCUGAACAUUUUAAACACAGCAAUCUUCCUUCCUUGACUUUCAACCGAACAGUGAUUACUUCCAAGCCUAGAGAGGUAGAUAAAGAUAAUUCGUACCAGGCCCUAUACUUCUAAAUAUCACGUGAUUUUGGCGCGACACCGGCAGCCAGAAAGUCGGGAUGAGACGUUUUCCGUUUGUUGACAUUGUUAUGGUUCAGUUUUGUUGAACUAUGCCUAAAGCUGCAAACCAUCUUGACAGAUGCCGUCUCUGCGACCAAAAUCUAAGGAUAUUUGGUACGCUCCAACAUGUGCGUUCCCUUGUGUCAAAGUCGAAUUGUACCAUUCUGACUAGGUUAUCAUCACUCGGCAUAAACCUGACACUGCACGAAGAUACAUCGACAAUUAUAUGUCAGAAGUGUUUUCGUAACAUUUGUAAGGUUGAAAAGACCAUGCAUGUGUUACAUGCAUGGAAAGCUACAACGCAAACACCGGCGUUUGGAACUCCCGGGGAAGAAGUUAUCAAGUCCCAACAAGGCCCAGUAGAGACCGGAAGAGAUGAUACCAAGACCAGGUGUUUUAACUGUGAUUCCUUGAAUGAGGUACCCGAGAAGAAACGUCAACGGGAAGAAAGCCCACCAACUACAGGCAGGGGUGCCAAGAAGAGAUGCAAUGCCUCUACAAAAUCCCCAGAGAAGAACAUUAUGGUUGAGGUUGUCAUUACAUACAACCCAAAAUUGAGUCAUCCAAAACCAGGAGUCGGUUCCCCUGACAACAAGGGAAGGACGUGGAAACAGAAGAGGAAGUACCUCGUUGGAGAAAAUGAAGUAUUUUUCAUACGAAGCGUUGGAUAAUGAGUUGUCCAGGAAGACACCAUGGCUUUAUACCACCAUCAAUACUGCAACAGGUGGUUCCACCAUCCAUAACUGUGUGGCUGCCUCUGUGGCCCUGAGAGGUAGAAACCCCAGGCUUUCUGCACUGGCCUAUGUCAUCAACUCAACACUGACCCAAGGGGGGGUUAAGCCCAUUUUCAAAAGACUCUCUAAAAUGGGCAUUGUAACAUCAUACCAAUGUGCCAGCAGUAAGCAGAAGGAGAUGAAGGCAGCUGGGUACAACAUCAACAUCAAAUGCUGGAGGGAGGACUGUGAGCUGUUUUUCCAACAUAGUGUCAGCGGUGAAGUCUGCCCACGACCUCCUCCUACGGCUAAACCGACAG